CCCAGGGCUCACGACCUGGGCUAAUCUCUGCCGCCCCUUCGGCGCU
rfam:Fimbriiglobus ruber strain SP5 contig02, whole genome shotgun sequence.